CAAUUUUAAUUAUAAUAAAAGUCUUUUAUCUAGAGCAGCAUUUCCCAAAGUGUGGGUCGCGACCCACUGGUGGGUCGCGGGUAGAUUUUGGGUGGGCCCUGAAACUGUAGGACGAUUGUCGUACUUACGUACGGUACGUUUUUAAUUGAAAUGGGUGUGGUGAGGAGCUUUAGAAAAGGCCCAAGUCCAGCAGUGAACGUCAGUAGGCUGACGAUGAUGAUAUUAUG